rnacentral:rRNA from 1 species
GACGAACGCUGGCGGCGUGCUUAACACAUGCGAGUCGAACGGUGAAGCGCCGUCCUUUUUGGUGGGUGUGGAUGAGUGGCGAACGGGUGAGUAACACGUGAGUAACCUGCCCCCUUCUUCUGGAUAACCGCAUGAAAGUGUGGCUAAUACGGGAUAUUCUGGGUCUGUCGCAUGAUGGGUCUGGGAAAGAUAUUGUGUCGGUGGGGGAUGGGCUCGCGGCCUAUCAGCUUGUUGGUGGGGUGAUGGCCUACCAAGGCGGUGACGGGUAGCCGGCCUGAGAGGGUCGACGGCCACACUGGGACUGCGACGCCGAGCAGACUACUACGGGCGGCAGCAGUGAGUCAUACUGCACGAUCGGCGCAAGGCUGAUGCAGCGACGCCGCGGGAGGGAUGGACGCCUUAGGGUUGAGAACCUCUUUCGCCAGUGAAGCAGGCCUGCCUUGUCUGUGGGUGGGUUGACGGUAGCUAGAUAAGAAGCGCCGGCUAACUACGUG